rnacentral:rRNA from 1 species
GGUGCAAGCGUUAAUCGGAAUUACUGGGCGUAAAGCGCACGCAGGCGGUCUGUCAAGUCGGAUGUGAAAUCCCCGGGCUCAACCUGGGAACUGCAUUCGAAACUGGCAGGCUUGAGUCUUGUAGAGGGGGGUAGAAUUCCAGGUGUAGCGGUGAAAUGCGUAGAGAUCUGGAGGAAUACCGGUGGCGAAGGCGGCCCCCUGGACAAAGACUGACGCUCAGGUGCGAAAGCGUGGGGAGCAAACAGGAUUAGAUACCCUGGUAGUCCACGCCGUAAACGAUGUCUACUUGGAGGUUGUGCCCUUGAGGCGUGGCUUCCGGAGCUAACGCGUUAAGUAGACCGCCUGGGGAGUACGGCCGCAAGGUUAAAACUCAAAUGAAUUGACGGGGGCCCGCACAAGCGGUGGAGCAUGUGGUUUAAUUCGAUGCAACGCGAAGAACCUUACCUGGUCUUGACAUCCACGGAAGUUUUCAGAGAUGAGAAUGUGCCUUCGGGAACCGUGAGACAGGUGCUGCAUGGCUGUCGUCAGCUCGUGUUGUGAAAUGUUGGGUUAAGUCCCGCAACGAGCGCAACCCUUAUCCUUUGUUGCCAGCGGUCCGGCCGGGAACUCAAAGGAGACUGCCAGUGAUAAACUGGAGGAAGGUGGGGAUGACGUCAAGUCAUCAUGGCCCUUACGACCAGGGCUACACACGUGCUACAAUGGCGCAUACAAAGAGAAGCGACCUCGCGAGAGCAAGCGGACCUCAUAAAGUGCGUCGUAGUCCGGAUUGGAGUCUGCAACUCGACUCCAUGAAGUCGGAAUCGCUAGUAAUCGUGGAUCAGAAUGCCACGGUGAAUACGUUCCCGGGCCUUGUACACACCGCCCGUCACACCAUGGGAGUGGGUUGCAAAAGAAGUAGGUAGCUUAACCUUCGGGAGGGCGCUUACCACUUUGUGAUUCAUGACUGGGGUGAAGUCGUAACAAGGUAACCGUAGGGGAACCUGC